AGUAAAGAAGCGAAGCUAAGCGGCGCUGGUGAAGCGGCUCAUCAGGUCUAUCAGGAAACCUGAGAAUUGGAGUGAGAAUCCCAGUGUGGAAAAUCAGGAAAGAGGCUGGUAUGAGCGACAGAGAAGUCAUUCAGGAAAGAGGUUAUUGAAUUCAUUGGAGAAUGAAUGCUGUUCUGAAUUUGUUUACCUCAACAAAUAGCUUACACCUCCAAUCCUGUCUUGGCGUGCCCUGCUCAGAAGACACAAGACACACCAGGAGUGACGUGAGGAAACAGGCAGUAAAGAUAAGCCUUUGCGACUGGGUUACUCAGACCCUCCCUGACAAGGAGGAGCCCAUCUUGAGUGUCCCAGGAGACCUGGACCUUGUGGACAUCCUGCAGAAUGGCAUAUGGAUCCAUUACAAUGAUGACAUCAUGCUGACUGGGCAAGAUGACAAGAGGUUGCUAUACACCAGAGGGCUUGGGAAGACACAUGCCCUGCAGAAGAAAAACCUGCUCCUGAUUACAAGGAUAUGUCGAUUGCAGGGAGGCAGAGGAAGAAAUACAACAGGAUGUCUAUCGAACACAACUUUGGAGUAAGACCUUGGGACCCAACUCCUGUUUGCUUCAUAUACAAGCUUUGAGACGUGAUGAGUUUGCCUCGAUUCUCUAAGCCUCAGUUUCCUCAUCUGUUGUUGUGAGGGAAAUAAUGCAUGGAAAGCUUUUAACACAAUGGCUGGCACACAGUGAAAGUGCAAGACGUUAACCAUUAUCAUGAGAGUUUUCAAUUGGAAUGAAUAGGAGACUUAAAUUUGCAUGAUUGUACUUUUACACUAAGCCAUUAAUGAUGCAUUCAUUUAGUUUUCUACUCCCAAAGAACAUAGAUUUGAUUAAUUAUAACAAGAAUUUAAAAAUAUUUCCAUUAUUCAGAAAUAACCUACAGAGUCUAAGCCUGUCCUUUCCUUCCUCCCUUUUUCCCAAUCUUUUUUUUUUUUUUUUUUUUUUGAAAGAAAUAGCAAUUAUGUAGUCAGAUUCACUGGCUCUUUCUUCUUCUCCCUGGUAACAGGCUAAGUCUUAACCUUGAUUAGGCAGCAUCGCAUCUGAUCUAAGUUCUUCCCAGCUUUCAGCCCAGCCUGCUUCCCCAGGCUUCAGAGCGCAGCUCUGCACCACCCUCUCCACCCCUGCUUAGCAUCAGAACAUUGCCAAAGCUAAGCAUCUAUGCAAUGUUUCUUUUGAAUAGUUGUCUACCUACUUGGAUAUUUUUUUCCUUCUCCCAGAGGCAAAAAUUGGACCACUUAAUCUAUGCUGUAGGACAGUCUUGCCCCUCAGAAAAUACUUGAGCAUAUUAAGUUGUUAUGAAAUGGAUCUGAGAAGCAGAGUUCUGAACCAUGCCCGUGAAUUUCCCAGCCUCAUCACACUGGCAUUCUUUCAUAGCCCCGAAAUACUUUCCACUUGCCCUUCCUAUGAAUGCAAGUAAAGCAAAGCCUCUUGACAAAGCAAAUUAAGAGUAAUCAAUGGUUUGGGUUUUUUUUUUAAUUAUUAUUUCCUGUGACUCAAAUCAAACCUAUUUCUCAACUGUAACGUACGAAAAGAGAGAGAUCAAGUUGACAUUUAGGAAAAUUGAACAUUGAUAAGUAAAUUGCCUUCACUCAGUCUCUUAGGUCCUCUCUCCUUUCCCCCUACCCCACGACACCCCGUGGCCCUGCUCUCUCUCACACACACAGCUGAAGGUAUCUUUAAAGGGUACCUAUUUCCUGCAGAUCACGCUUAUGUUAAUCUCACUUCAAGUACAGAUGCACCGAGGACAUUACAGGGUCAGUCAUUCUUAUCCACAAAGCUUUAGAUUCCACUACAUUAUUCAAACUGGACAAUGGACUUCCCCAUUUUGUGCCCAGACUUGCUCACUAAUAGAGUGACCUCCUUGUUAUGGGUGAGGAUAUAUUUGAUGCUAAAACUGCUACAAAUUUUUAUCAGCAUUUAAUCUUGAGACUGUGAAUUACUACAUCCUGCAUGUGUUGGUACCUUACUUUGAUUAAAAAUGGGAUAAAUCAA
rnacentral:lncRNA from 1 species